rnacentral:rRNA from 1 species
AUUGAACGCUGGCGGCGUGCCUAACACAUGCAAGUCGAGCGGUAACAGGUGUAGCAAUACAUGCUGACGAGCGGCGGACGGGUGAGUAACGCUUGGGAAUCUGCCUAUUAGUGGGGGACAACCCGGGGAAACUCGGGCUAAUACCGCAUACGCUCUACGGAGGAAAGCCGGGGACCGCAAGGCCUGGCGCUAAUAGAUGAGCCCAAGUCGGAUUAGCUAGUUGGUAGGUAAUGGCCUACCAAGGCGACGAUCCGUAACUGGUCUGAGAGGACGACCAGUCACACCGGAACUGAGACACGGUCCGGACUCCUACGGGAGGCAGCAGUGGGGAAUAUUGGACAAUGGGCGAAAGCCUGAUCCAGCGACGCCGCGUGGGUGAAGAAGGCCUGCGGGUUGUAAAGCCCUUUCAGUGGGGAAGAAAAGCCUCGACCUAACACGUCGGGGUCUUGACGUAACCCAUAGAAGAAGCACCGGCUAACUCU